rnacentral:tRNA from 1 species
CGGAGCGUGGCGCAGUUUGGUAGCGCACUUGCAUGGGGUGCAAGGGGUCGCAGGUUCGAAUCCUGUCGCUCCGACCA